rnacentral:rRNA from 1 species
AACGAACGCUGGCGGCAUGCCUAACACAUGCAAGUCGAACGAGCCCUUCGGGUCUAGUGUCGCACGGGUGCGUAACGCGUGGGAACCUGCCCUUAGGUUCGGAAUAACUCCCCGACAGGGGUGCUAAUACCGGAUAAUGUCUUCGGACCAAAGAUUUAUCGCCUUUGGAUGGGCCCGCGUUGGAUUAGCUAGUUGGUAGGGUAAAAGCCUACCAAGGCGACGAUCCAUAGCUGGUCUGAGAGGAUGAUCAGCCACACUGGGACUGAGACACGGCCCAGACUCCUACGGGAGGCAGCAGUGGGGAAUAUUGGAAAACGGGCGAAAGCCUGAUCCAGCAAUGCCGCGUGAGUGAUGAAGGCCUUAGGGUUGUAAAGCUCUUUUACCCGGGAUGAUAAUGACAGUACCGGGAGAAUAAGCUCCGGCUAACUCCGUG